rnacentral:rRNA from 1 species
AGCGAACGCUGGCGGCAUGCCUAACACAUGCAAGUCGAGCGCUCCCAGCAAUGGGGGAGCGGCGGACGGGUGAGUAACGCGUAGGAACGUAUCCUGAGGUGGGGGGAUAACCCUGGGAAACUAGGGCUAAUACCGCAUGAUGGCGAGAGCCCAAAGAUUUAUCGCCUUGGGAGCGGCCUGCGUCUGAUUAGCUUGUUGGUGGGGUAACGGCCUACCAAGGCGAUGAUCAGUAGCUGGUCUGAGAGGAUGAUCAGCCACACUGGGACUGAGACACGGCCCAGACUCCUACGGGAGGCAGCAGUGGGGAAUAUUGGACAAUGGGCGAAAGCCUGAUCCAGCAAUGCCGCGUGGAUGAAGAAGGUCUUCGGAUUGUAAAGUACCUUUCGGCGGGGACGGAUGAUGACGGUACCCGCAGAAGAAGCCCC